GGGAAACUGCCUGAUGGAGGGGGAUAACUACUGGAAACGGUAGCUAAUACCGCAUAACGUCGCAAGACCAAAGAGGGGGACCCUCGGGCCUCUUGCCAUCAGAUGUGCCCAGAUGGGAUUAGCUAGUAGGUGGGGUAACGGCUCACCUAGGCGACGAUCCCUAGCUGGUCUGAGAGGAUGACCAGCCACACUGGAACUGAGACACGGUCCAGACUCCUACGGGAGGCAGCAGUGGGGAAUAUUGCACAAUGGGCGCAAGCCUGAUGCAGCCAUGCCGCGUGUAUGAAGAAGGCCUUCGGGUUGUAAAGUACUUUCAGCGGGGAGGAAGGGAGUAAGGUUAAUAACCUUGCUCAUUGACGUUACCCGCAGAAGAAGCACCGGCUAACUCCGUGCCAGCAGCCGCGGUAAUACGGAGGGUGCAAGCGUUAAUCGGAAUUACUGGGCGUAAAGCGCACGCAGGCGGUCUGUCAAGUCGGAUGUGAAAUCCCCGGGCUCAACCUGGGAACUGCAUUCGAAACUGGCAGGCUGGAGUCUUGUAGAGGGGGGUAGAAUUCCAGGU
rnacentral:rRNA from 1 species